AGAGUUUGAUCCUGGCUCAGGACGAACGCUGGCGGCGCGCCUAACACAUGCAAGUCGAACGAGCGAGAGAGAGCUUGCUUUCUCGAGCGAGUGGCGAACGGGUGAGUAACGCGUGAGGAACCUGCCUCAAAGAGGGGGACAACCGUUGGAAACGACUGCUAAUACCGCAUAAGCCCACGGCUCGGCAUCGAGCAGAGGGAAAAGGAGCAAUCCGCUUUGAGAUGGCCUCGCGUCCGAUUAGCUAGUUGGUGAGGUAACGGCCCACCAAGGCGACGAUCGGUAGCCGGACUGAGAGGUUGAACGGCCACAUUGGGACUGAGACACGGCCCAGACUCCUACGGGAGGCAGCAGUGGGGAAUAUUGCGCAAUGGGGGCAACCCUGACGCAGCAACGCCGCGUGAAGGAUGAAGGUUUUCGGAUCGUAAACUUCUUUUAUUAAGGACGAAAAAUGACGGUACUUAAUGAAUAAGCUCCGGCUAACUACGUGCCAGCAGCCGCGGUAAUACGUAGGGAGCAAGCGUUGUCCGGAUUUGCUGGGUGUAAAGGGUGCGUAGGCGGCUUUGCAAGUCAGAUGUGAAAUCUAUGGGCUCAACCCAUAAACUGCAUUUGAAACUGUAGAGCUUGAGUGAAGUAGAGGCAGGCGGAAUUCCCCGUGUAGCGGUGAAAUGCGUAGAGAUGGGGAGGAACACCAGUGGCGAAGGCGGCCUGCUGGGCUUUAACUGACGCUGAGGCACGAAAGCGUGGGUAGCAAACAGGAUUAGAUACCCUGGUAGUCCACGCUGUAAACGAUGAUUACUAGGUGUGGGGGGUCUGACCCCCUUCCGUGCCGGAGUUAACACAAUAAGUAAUCCGCCUGGGGAGUGCGGCCGCAAGGUUGAAACUCGAAGGGAUUGACGGGGGCCCGCACAAGCAGUGGAGUAUGUGGUUUAAUUAGACGCAACGCGAAGAACCUUACCAAGUCUUGACAUCCUGCGACGGUUCUGGAAACAGUACUUUCCUUCGGGACGCAGAGACAGGUGGUGCAUGGUUGUCGUCAGCUCGUGUCGUGAGAUGUUGGGUUAAGUCCCGCAACGAGCGCAACCCUUAUGGUCAGUUACUACGCAAGAGGACUCUGGCCAGACUGCCGUUGACAAAACGGAGGAAGGUGGGGAUGACGUCAAAUCAUCAUGCCCUUUAUGACUUGGGCUACACACGUACUACAAUGGCGUUAAACAAAGAGAAGCAAGACCGCGAGGUGGAGCAAAACUCAGAAACAACGUCCCAGUUCGGACUGCAGGCUGCAACUCGCCUGCACGAAGUCGGAAUUGCUAGUAAUCGUGGAUCAGCAUGCCACGGUGAAUACGUUCCCGGGCCUUGCACACACCGCCCGUCA
rnacentral:rRNA from 1 species